rnacentral:rRNA from 1 species
CAUGUCUUUUUGAUUAUAAUUUAAAGUCUGACCUGCCCUAUGAGUACUUAAAUGGCUGCGAUACCCUGAUCGUGCAAAGGUAGCAUAAUAAUUAGUUUUUUAAUUGGGAACUGGAAUGAAAGGUCGAACGAGAAAAAGACUGUCUCAAUCUAAAUUUAAUUAGAAUUUUAUUUUUAAGUAAAAAAGCUUAAAUAUAUUUAAAAGACGAGAAGACCCUAUAGAGUUUUAUAUAAAUUUUAAUAUUUGAAAGUUAAAGAAUUUUAGAUUUAAAUAUUAUUAUUUGUAUUUAGUUGGGGUGAUUAAAAAAUUAAAAAAACUUUUUUUAUAUUAAACCAUUGAUUUAUGAAUAAGUGAUCCAUUAUUAAUGAUUAUAAGAUUAAAUUACCUUAGGGAUAACAGCGUAAUUUUUUUUAGAGUUCUUAUCGAAAAAAAAGUUUGCGACC